UUUUCUAAUUUGGUGCAUGGAAAGAGAAAUAUUAUUUUCUGAAGUUACAGUGAAUAAAAGGUAAUGCAAAAGUGAGUCUCAAGUGUCUUAGGUAUAAAAGACAAUGUUAGCUUGCGUGGAUAUAUCGUGAUUGUCCAGAAAAAUGAAAAAAAACCACUGAAGAAGUUCCACUCAAAUUUCUGCAUGAGAGCCCGGCAAGAACUCCCCAGAAUUCUUAAGCUCAAUCAUCUUUUCAGAGGAUUUGUGUGACUUUCUACAAACCAGGAGAUAAAUUUUCACAAAAAAAAAACGAUGGAUUUUUCAAUACUGACCACCGAUUUCCUAUUUUUGCCACCGUAGUUAUGAUCAAUCUUAUGAUCUUGUUUGAGCAAAUAUUGAAGUGUGUGACUGGUGAAGACAUCAUGGUUAUCCAGAAUCUCAUCAAAGACCCAAAAAUCAACCAUUGCACCAUCAAUUUAUGGGCCUUACUUCUCAAGAGAAGCCUGGUGCUAUAUUUUUUGACGGGGAGGUGAAAAACUCGAGAGAAAAUACAAAGCAAAGGAGACAUCAAUGUUUCAUCAAGAAAAGCUGGACCGUGGGGAUCAUUGACGGGGAGAAAAGUGCCAGAGGAAGUACAAUUCAGUAGUCUUCAAUAUAUUAUAUAAGAUAAUUUAACUACUUAUCACGACAACACGAAAACAAAUAAAUUUUUACAUGAUGAUAUGAAUUCCUGAGAAGACAGCAACCUUCUGGACAAUAUUUUUGUGAUUGUGACUAUGAGCGGACAGAAAUGAAAAUCUUCAAGAUGCAUUAUGACGUGGUUAAAGAGACUUCCCGCCGAGAUGGAAUCCAUGAACGCAAUCCGGCAGCAGAAUUUUCUACGACGACCAAAGUCUAACAAGGUAGUUGAAGCAGAUGAAAUCUCGAGACAGCACCUUCUGGACAAGAUUUUGUAAUUAUGACUAUGAGCGGACAGAAAUGAAAUCUUCAAGAUGCAUUAUGACGUGGUUAAAGAGACUUCCCGCCGAGAUGGAAUCCAUGAACGCAAUCCGGCAGCAGAAUUUCUACGACGACCAAAGUCUAACAAGGUAGUUGAAGCAGAUGAAAUCUCGAGACAGCACCUUCUGGACAAGAUUUUGUAAUUAUGACUAUGAGCGGACAGAAAUGAAAUCUUCAAGAUGCAUUAUGACGUGGUUAAAGAGACUUCCCGCCAAGAUGGAAUCCAUGAACGCAAUCCGGCAGCAGAAUUUCUACGACGACCAAAGUCUAACAAGGUAGUUGAAGCAGAUGAAAUCUCGAGACAGGACCUUCUGGACAAGAUUUUGUAAUUGUGACUAUGAGCGGACAGAAAUGAAAUCUUCAAGAUGCAUUAUGACGUGGUUAAAGAGACUUCCCGCCAAGAUGGAAUCCAUGAACGCAAUCCGGCAGCAGAAUUUCUACGACGACCAAAGUCUAACAAGGUAGUUGAAGCAGAUGAAAUCUCGAGACAGGACCUUCUGGACAAGAUUUUGUAAUUGUGACUAUGAGCGGACAGAAAUGAAAUCUUCAAGAUGCAUUAUGACGUGGUUAAAGAGACUUCCCGCCAAGAUGGAAUCCAUGAACGCAAUCCGGCAGCAGAAUUUCUACGACGACCAAAGUCUAACAAGGUAGUUGAAGCAGAUGAAAUCUCGAGACAGGACCUUCUGGACAAGAUUUUGUAAUUGUGACUAUGAGCGGACAGAAAUGAAAUCUUCAAGAUGCAUUAUGACGUGGUUAAAGAGACUUCCCGCCAAGAUGGAAUCCAUGAACGCAAUCCGGCAGCAGAAUUUCUACGACGACCAAAGUCUAACAAGGUAGUUGAAGCAGAUGAAAUCUCGAGACAGCACCUUCUGGACAAGAUUUUGUAAUUAUGACUAUGAGCGGACAGAAAUGAAAUCUUCAAGAUGCAUUAUGACGUGGUUAAAGAGACUUCCCGCCGAGAUGGAAUCCAUGAACGCAAUCCGGCAGCAGAAUUUCUACGACGACCAAAGUCUAACAAGGUAGUUGAAGCAGAUGAAAUCUCGAGACAGCACCUUCUGGACAAGAUUUUGUAAUUAUGACUAUGAGCGGACAGAAAUGAAAUCUUCAAGAUGCAUUAUGACGUGGUUAAAGAGACUUCCCGCCAAGAUGGAAUCCAUGAACGCAAUCCGGCAGCAGAAUUUCUACGACGACCAAAGUCUAACAAGGUAGUUGAAGCAGAUGAAAUCUCGAGACAGGACCUUCUGGACAAGAUUUUGUAAUUGUGACUAUGAGCGGACAGAAAUGAAAUCUUCAAGAUGCAUUAUGACGUGGUUAAAGAGACUUCCCGCCAAGAUGGAAUCCAUGAACGCAAUCCGGCAGCAGAAUUUCUACGACGACCAAAGUCUAACAAGGUAGUUGAAGCAGAUGAAAUCUCGAGACAGCACCUUCUGGACAAGAUUUUGUAAUUAUGACUAUGAGCGGACAGAAAUGAAAUCUUCAAGAUGCAUUAUGACGUGGUUAAAGAGACUUCCCGCCGAGAUGGAAUCCAUGAACGCAAUCCGGCAGCAGAAUUUCUACGACGACCAAAGUCUAACAAGGUAGUUGAAGCAGAUGAAAUCUCGAGACAGCACCUUCUGGACAAGAUUUUGUAAUUAUGACUAUGAGCGGACAGAAAUGAAAUCUUCAAGAUGCAUUAUGACGUGGUUAAAGAGACUUCCCGCCAAGAUGGAAUCCAUGAACGCAAUCCGGCAGCAGAAUUUCUACGACGACCAAAGUCUAACAAGGUAGUUGAAGCAGAUGAAAUCUCGAGACAGGACCUUCUGGACAAGAUUUUGUAAUUGUGACUAUGAGCGGACAGAAAUGAAAUCUUCAAGAUGCAUUAUGACGUGGUUAAAGAGACUUCCCGCCAAGAUGGAAUCCAUGAACGCAAUCCGGCAGCAGAAUUUCUACGACGACCAAAGUCUAACAAGGUAGUUGAAGCAGAUGAAAUCUCGAGACAGGACCUUCUGGACAAGAUUUUGUAAUUGUGACUAUGAGCGGACAGAAAUGAAAUCUUCAAGAUGCAUUAUGACGUGGUUAAAGAGACUUCCCGCCAAGAUGGAAUCCAUGAACGCAAUCCGGCAGCAGAAUUUCUACGACGACCAAAGUCUAACAAGGUAGUUGAAGCAGAUGAAAUCUCGAGACAGGACCUUCUGGACAAGAUUUUGUAAUUGUGACUAUGAGCGGACAGAAAUGAAAUCUUCAAGUCAAUAUCUUUUGAGAAGCCAAAUUAAAAUUGGAAGGAAUAUCUCCUCAGAAUGGUAUUAUUUCAUGUUAUAUAUUUGUGGUACAUCUUGGAAGCAAGAUGAUCAUCAGCUGUACCUUUUUCUAUGUAUAAUUAAGAGAGUUUUUCAAAGUCA